rnacentral:tRNA from 1 species
GAGGGUACAGCUCAGUGGUAGAGCCCAUGCUUAUCAUGCAGGAGGUCCCGGGUUCAAUCCCCAGUACCGCCA